rnacentral:rRNA from 1 species
AACGAACGCUGGCGGCAUGCCUAACACAUGCAAGUCGAACGAACCCUUCGGGGUUAGUGGCGCACGGGUGCGUAACGCGUGGGAAUCUGCCCUUGGCUUCGGAAUAACAGUUAGAAAUGACUGCUAAUACCGGAUGAUGUUUUCGGACCAAAGAUUUAUCGGCCAGGGAUGAGCUCGCGUAGGAUUAGGUAGUUGGUGGGGUAAAGGCCUACCAAGCCGACGAUCCUUAGCUGGUCUGAGAGGAUGAUCAGCCACACUGGGACUGAGACACGGCCCAGACUCCUACGGGAGGCAGCAGUGGGGAAUAUUGGACAAUGGGCGCAAGCCUGAUCCAGCAAUGCCGCGUGAGUGAUGAAGGCCUUCGGGUCGUAAAGCUCUUUUACCCGGGAUGAUAAUGACAGUACCGGGAGAAUAAGCUCCGGCUAACUCCGUGCCAGCCGCCGCGGUAACAC